rnacentral:sRNA from 1 species
UGGCAAGCCCUGGAAACUGAAGCUCUCUUUAAUCACAGAACAGGUACAACACAGGCAGAAACAAUGCAUACCUCCCCACGCCCACUAUGAGCCUCAAUCCUGAACCAGGAGUGACAGGAUCUCAAUCCCACACCAGUCCCCUGAGUUCCCACC